UUGCCAUAUGUUUUAAAAUUGUUAGACGUAGUCAAAAAUGAAGUCAAAAAAAUAUAUAUAUAUAUAUAUGUAUAAAAAAAAAAAAAAAUUAAGAAAAAACUAUAGGUACACUAUAACGAUGUAACCAGCAAACGAACUAUAAGACCGGCCGGCAUUCUACUCUUAUGUAGGUAUCUCUCACUCUCAGUCAGAACCGCGAAAGGAACCGCUACUUCCGUUCGUCUUUCUUUCCUCACUUUUCUCCUCUCUUCUUCACCGUUUCCACCUCUUUCAAAUUCUCCACGCACUAUUGACUUCGUUCCGUCGGUACGUACGUUAAGUAGAAAAACUUUUCGCGAAAAAAAAAUGGCGCCAUUAUCAUAUCCACGAUUAACGUAGUAAUUUCAUUUAGCUUAGUAAUAUUUCGUAGGUAAAAUCGUCGCACUAUUAUAACAUAUUUCGUCAUUGUUUUCCUUUGGUACGCUAUUUUCAUUUUAGUUUUCCUUUUUUAUUUUUUUCGUCCUUUUCUUUUUUCUUUUUUUUUUUUCUUUUGACUCGCUUUUUUCGAAAGUCACGUUACAACGAUUUCGCGGUAUUACGCGUCGAGAUUCGUCGUCAUCGGGCUGCAUACACUCAACUAACAUAGAUCUAUACAGUUACAUAUGUCGUUCAAGAAAAGCCAACGCAGCGACGAAGAAAUGUUGUUCGCUUGUAACACACGCGAAUACUUUGUAUGUAGUAGCGUGUAAAUAAAUUGUAAUAUCUUCCACGUGGGUUUACGUCGAUUCAAUUUCAUUUUGAAAAUAAUAAAUAUUAUUUGUGACAAUGGGUCGCAAAAUUCCGGGGAAGAAACAUCGUGGCGUCAAGGAUCCUGAGAAACAGCGUGCUAAACGAUUAGCAGAGUUAGAAACAAAAAUAAACGCUCCGCCGAAAGAUGUCAAAGAGCAAGCAGUACCAAAAAGUUUGGAAAAUUUUAUUAGACUUAAGGAAGCAGUUAAAUCUGGUAAAAUAAGUAAAGUGAAGAAAGUAAGGAAAAGGAAGAAAAAUGGAUUAAUAUGCGUUGGCGGUGAAAAACCAAAGUCGUUACAUCCUAAAUCAAAACCAGAAAAGGCAGUUCCAAUAUUUCAACAAAAACCCGACGAAAGUAACAAUCGAUUUUUUUAUCGUGUCAGUCAGGAGACUCAUGCUUUUCUUAAUGAAACUGCCUUUGAAAAGAAAUACGAUGUCAUUGUAAAUAGAAAUUCUAAUACUGGAGAGGUCGAAGGUAUAUCUAAACGUCCUAAAGAUGAGUUGGAUGAAUUAGAGAGAUUAAGGGCAAAACAUAAAAAUAUUAGAAAAAAGAAAAAGAAUAAAGAAGGCGAAGGUGAUAUGAACCUUAGUAAAUCUCAAAAAAGAAGGCAGAAGUUGUUGAUCAAGAAGAAAAAAAAGGAGGAGGAUUUAAUUGAUAAUUUUCAAAUAUUUCAAGAUGAUGUGAAAUUUGGAGAAACAGUGCAUGCACCGCCUACAUUAGUUAUCAGACCUAAAAAAGCUAAUCUCACGGAUACUAUCAAGCCAGGAAAGAAAAAUUUGCUUCUACAUUCCUUAUUCGCAAAGAAUGGUUCAUCCAAUAGCAAUAUUACAAAAUCGGUUGUCAUUGAUAGAUCUGGUAAACGUAAAAAUUUACCAGCUAGUGAAAGGAGACAACUGGAAAAAGAACAGAGCAGUGUUAUUGCAGCAUACAGACAGUUGAAAGCUAGGCAAUCUGCUGAUGUUGAUAUUUAGGAUUCAAAGCUGAGAGACGGGACAAGCUCAGAUCCGCUACCGGUGGUAAGAAGGAGACCGGCAAAAAAUUUGCGCGCGCGCACACACAGAGGUGAUGUCGAAGAUGAUAUUCUAUUAACAAACAAGCGUGGAUAUUAACCGAUUGUCGAAGCGAAGUGUAUUAACGUUUUAUUAACGCCAUGUAAGCACUUCUUCGCUACUCUUACGGCCUACGCAGAAAAGGAAAUACUAUGACGAUGGAGGAGGAACAACGGCGGCCAUCUUUGCGUGACAAACGAAAAAUUAUUAACGGUGCGGAGGUGCUGGACUCAAAAGGUUAGCAGCGCUCUCGUCGUAGUUUCGUAUUAUCGUGUCUGUGAUAAAUAGCUAGAACCUACUAUACAUUCCAAAGUCUGUGAGAUAUAGUUCGUUGUUAUUAAAGAAACUAGUGCUUUGUAGUUAUUUAAAAGAUAUUUUAAAACCGAGAGAAUAAAAAGAGAAUAAAAGGAAAAAAAAGAAGAAAAAAAAAGGAAAGAAAAAAGAAGGAGAAAGGAAAAAAGAGGAAAACGAAAGAAAUAUCAAAGAUCGGCAGAGGGGGUGCCAAUUAAAGCAUCAUUAAACGCGCACAUCGAAAAUAACUCUGGACACGGAGAAAUGUCUGGAAGCGGAUGGCUCGAAAGACAGGAGAGCAAGUUUGGACCGCCGGAUAUACGAAGGCAACGAUUCAAAUUUGAAACUAAAAAAAGAGAUAGCAAAGGA